rnacentral:lncRNA from 1 species
UCUGCCUCCCAAGUGCUGGGAUUAAAGGCAUGCACCACCACACCUGGCUACGUUUAAGUUUUUUAAUCGUGUGGUGACUGCCUAUUGGAUUCAUGUACACAUAUGAAUCAAUAUCUUGGGAGAUAUGUUAUUGGGAGAUAUUUUAAUUUCAUUUAUGUAUAGUUGUUGCUGUCAAAUAUGAGAAACAGAACUUCUCGGUUAAAGGAGCUCAUGACGCUUAAUCUUUGUUAUCAUUUUGACUAAGUUUGAAACACAGCUCUGAAUAUGGCCGAGUGGAUGCUGCCAGAAAGGAAGACCCACCUUGAAUGUGUUCCACCGUCCUAGAGUAGGGUCCUAGGUUGACUAAAUCAGAAAAGAGGAAGCCAGCUGAACAAAAGCAGUCCUGUGUCUCUGCUUCCUGCUUGCAGAGGCAGCGUGACCUAAGUUCCUCCAGUUAGGCCUUCUCCAACAUCUUGAACUGUGUCCCUCAAAACUGUGGAGCCAAAUCAAACCUCUUAUUCACUAAGUUAGUUUCGUCAAACCAACUUAUUGUCAGGGCAAUGACAAGCUAACAGGUAUCAUCUAACAGCACUCAGAAAAAUCUAUUAAUAUACAUCCCUCAUCCUCAUACAACAUAUGAACCCUCGUAUCAUCACAGUUUUGCCUGCAUUAUCAACCUGUUGAUCAAAUAAAAAGUUGUAUCUCCUUGUACAUUUAAGGCCCGUCUGCUGAGUUACUAGUUGGACAACUUCUUAUGUUCUAUUGACACUCAAAAUUUAAAAUUUGACUUCUGUAGGUUUUUCUAUUUGGUGAAAGGUCUAUUUAUGAUUUAUGUGAACAAUUUUCGCAUAAAAGAAAUUAUCUUUUUUCUCAUAGUAUAUGUGAAAAUAUUCCAUUUUUUCAGUUUUAAAUAUUUUAUUGUGUCUUAAGGCAUCCAUAUGAGAUUCCAAUUUUUUCUCUAGUAUCCAUUUGUUAAUGCCUUUUGUAGCUAUAUUUAGAGAGAACAUUAUGGUGCUAAAGUUAUUUUUAACAACAAUUUUUAAUAUUUUCUUAUACCUAUAAUAACUAUGAAUAUAUUUUUAUUUGUUUGAUUCAUAUAGAAUUUAUUUUGUUAUAAGAUAUUAAUUGGAAAUCCUUUGUGUAUGUAUUUCUACACAGUUACUUCCUGGUUCCAUAUUAUAUACUAAUCAAUCAUUUCCCCACUGAACUAAAAUUUUACCUUUAUUAUAUAUUAAAUUUUUUCCUGUAUAAAUCUUUUAAACAGAUGUGAAAGGAGGAAGACUAUUUGGGACAAAGAGGGUCAGCAGGACUAGGAUGGGAGGGAUAAGAUAUUUGUACACAGUUAUAACCAUGGUAUACAUGUAUGAAGCUAUAAAACAUUUAAAGCAUUACAAAUGAGUCUUACAUUGAGCCUACUUCUAGAUUUUUAUUUUUAUUUUUUCUCAUGUCAGACUCACAGUGCUAUGGCAAACUAAUUAAUGGUUUUCCUUUACAUAGUUUUGUGUAUGGUUUUGUCUAUUCAGACCUCAUGUUGACUUAAAAUAAGCUUUUUCAGUUACCACCCACUCUAAAUUUUAUUUGUAUUUUCUUGAGUUUGUAGUGAUAGUGUAGAAAAAUAUACAGUUUUUGAAAUUAAGUCUUUCUACAGACAAAAAUCAAGAUUGGUCUUUCUAUGUGUUCCAGCCGUGGUAACUAUAGUGUUAUUGAAUAUUCCCUUUCAAGUAUUUUGUGCAUUUCUACUUACAUUUUGCAGUUAACUCUGUUAGCUAAUUAUAAAUGAUGUUUUUCCAUGCUCAUAUGACUGGAAAAUGUUUGAAACAGAAAGAGUCCUUGUUGCUAGAUAUUGAUACUGUAUCUAAUAUAAUAAGGCUCAGAAAAGAAAUAGUUAAAUUUGUUCUGCAUCAGUGUCAUCAUUAUGCAAAUUUUAAUAUGCAUAAUGUAUAAAUAAUAAGACAUGUAUAAUUUAUAUGAAGAGACACACUUUUAGUAUUUCAGAUCCUUGUAGUUUUAAUCUAUGCAAAGUUUUCUGGGACCUGAAAAUGAAUUUCCUUCCUCUAUCAACAUCAGUGCACAUUUUUCCUUUAAUUUUAAGAUUGGUGAUUAAUAAAAGUGAAGAAU